rnacentral:rRNA from 1 species
GACGAACCGUGCGAACGUUAUUCGGAAUCACUGGGCUUAAAGCGCGUGUAGGCGGAAGGGCACGUCCGUUGCUGAAAUCCCCCGGCUCAACCGGGGAACGGGCGCGGAUACGACUCUUCUGGAGGGGCGUAGGGGGACCUGGAACUUCCGGUGGAGCGGUGAAAUGCGUAGAUAUCGGAAGGAACGCCGGUGGCGAAAGCGACGUGCUGGACCUCUUCUGACGCUGAGGCGCGAAAGCCAGGGGAGCGAACGGG